GGUGCCAUCGUCUAAUGGUUAGGACACAAGGUUUUCAUCCUUGCAAUCGGGGUUCAAUUCCCCGUGGCACUGCCA
rnacentral:tRNA from 1 species